rnacentral:rRNA from 1 species
AGUGAACGCUGGCGGUAGGCCUAACACAUGCAAGUCGAACGGCAGCACAGUAAGAGCUUGCUCUUACGGGUGGCGAGUGGCGGACGGGUGAGGAAUACAUCGGAAUCUACUUUUUCGUGGGGAUAACGUAGGGAAACUUACGCUAAUACCGCAUACGACCUACGGGUGAAAGCAGGGGAUCUUCGGACCUUGCUCGAUUGAAUGAGCCGAUGUCGGAUUAGCUAGUUGGCGGGGUAAAGGCCCACCAAGGCGACGAUCCGUAGCUGGUCUGAGAGGAUGAUCAGCCACACUGGAACGGAGACACGGUCCAGACUCCUACGGGAGGGAGCAGUGGGGAAUAUUGGACAGUGGGCGCAAGCCUGAUCCAGCCAUACCGCGUGGGUGAAGAAGGCCUUCGGGUUGUAAAGCCCUUUUGUUGGGAAAGAAAAGCAGCAGGUUAAUACCCCGCUGUUCUGACGGUACCCAAAGAAUAAGCACCGGCUAACUUCGUG